AAACUUUGUCUUUGUAACUCCUUCCAUGGGUGUUUUGUUCCCAAUUCUAAGGAGGGGCAUAGUGUCCACACUUCAGUCUUCAUUCUUCUAAUGAUCUUAAACACAAAGACAGAGCUGGAUUCUGGGCAGCUUUGCAGGCUACCACUUUUUCAUGUGUAACAGAGCAGCACUGCUGCUAUGGAACUAUUUAUAAGUAGACUGUCUUCUCUGGAAGCGUUGGAGGCCUCCUCUCUGUGGUGUUUGCUGCCAUUUAUCCAGCCCUGCUGAUUUCCUUAGACUCAGGUUUACUUGGUCUGUUUUCUAAAUAAGCUCACCUAUUCAGUAUCUCCACUGCGUUUUGGAGUUGAACUUAAGUAAUUAAGUAAAUGUUUGACAAGGUCACUGAGCUUAGCCAUGUGUGAUGGUUGGUUGUGUCACCUGGAUGGCAUUGGGAAGCACCUGUGGACAUUUCCAGAGAAGGUCGACAGAGAACAAGGCAAACCCACAAUGUGAAUGUCCAUUGUGGGUUGAAAGAGGAAGGAAGGAAAUGUGCAGGGACAUUGAUGCUAACUGCAGCCGAUGCCUCCCUACCAGGAGAUAGUAAAACCUAUGCACUCUGAGCUACAAAGAGAAAACUAACACACCGUGAUUGAGCAGGAGCUGGCACUAGCACCGAGGUCUUGGGCCCAAGUUCAGCCUUUGUCCCACUGUGACUUACUGAUUCUGUUUUAAGCACAAAGUAUCUGAACUGUAGGCCAGUACUUACUGUUAUGGUCUCUGAACUUCAGUCUGCAGUGAUAGAAGCCUAGUUUAUGUAGCAGCGGAAUCGUAGCCUCUCUGUGUCCUGCAGGUAGCAGAAUGAGCAAGCCUGGCGCUUGCAGGCCAGGUCCACAUCAGACUCCAGCUGUACUCUGAUUUCUAGAUGAUCGUGAUUGUGAGCACCCGAGGGUGGCAGAAGCUCGUGGUUCUGUCAGUCAGGUGUCCAGGCUUUCUGUUGUUUGCUUGUUCUUUCCAACCACUUCUUUACAUCUGUCAGGUCCCCAACACUCCCCGGGCUAUGGUUUUGUGUGUGUACUGCAGAUUGUCUGCAGGGCCCCGAAGGUGCUGGGUAAGCACUCCCCCACACAGCUUUAUCACCCUGCACACUGGCCAAUGGCCUGGAUGAGUAAGGAAGCCCAAAGACUUUUAAGAGCAUUGGCAGUGUUUCUCCCUUUAUCCUCAUAGCUUGUGGAGACUUGAAAUUAGAAGCAUCAGGCUUUAUGGGUUGUGUUGGCGGAAGGGUUUUGUUAGCUGAUCUGGGUCAGGAUGUAAUUUUCUCACUCCGUUGAGAAGACAGUGUAAUUUCUUAAGAGUCGGGCUAAGUAAUGGAGCAGUAGACUUGCUGUGGAGGGGAAGGACUACAAAAGUCAGCAGAAGUAGUGACAUUGGUUUUGCUAGGAGCCCACAGCUUUUGUGGAGGAAGAGGAACCAGUCAUUUAUAUGAGCCAAUGAAUACCAGGACUAGAAACACUCUUUAAUCACUUUAAUCACUCAGACAUUUCUAUGCAAAUUUGUAGCAUAUGGAUAACUUGACACUAAUUAGAGACACCUGGGGAGAGGGAGCCUCAGUUGAGGAACUGCCUCCAUCAGAUUGGCCUGUGAGCUGUCUGUGGGGCACUUUCUUGAUUGCUAAUUGAUGGGGGAGCGCCUGCCCAAUAUGGGCAGUGGCACCCUGAACAGGUGGUUCUGGGUUGUUCAAGAAAGGUAGGUUGGUUUUUUUUUUAUUAGAUAUUUUCUUUAUUUACAUUUCAAAUGUUAUCCCGAAAGUUCCCUAUAACCUCCCCCCACCUUGCUCCCCUACCCACCCACUCCUACUUCUUGUCCCUGGCAUUCCCUUGUACAAGAAAGGUAGUUUUACAUGAACCUGGAAACGGCGUUCCUCUGGGAGGUAUCCUGAGUUCCUGCCUUCAGGUUUCUCCAGAUCAGUGGUUCUCAACCUCCCUAAUGCUGUGGCCCUUUAAUACAGGUCCUCAUGUUGUGGUGACAGCCAACCGAAACUUAUUUUUUUGUUGCUACUUCAUAGCUGCAAUUUUGCUACAGUUAUGAGUCAUAAUGUCAAUGUGUGCCUUCUGAUGGUCUUAGGUGACCUUUGUGAAAAGGUUGUUUGUGACCCACAGGUUGAGAACCAUGUCUCUAAAUGAGACCUAUAACCUGUAAGCAUACAUAAAGUCUUUUCUCCCUAGGUUGUUUUCUGUCAUGGUGUUUAUCACAGCAACGAGAGGCCAAGUGGAACAAGGGGUAAUGGGUGUCUUGGGGCCACUGAAGCUUGAGGCGAUGGGAGGUUGAGAGUACAAUCCAAUGCUGAAAAGCUGCAGACUUGUGUGAAGGUAUCAACCUGCCAGGGGAGGCAGUGGGUUCUCCUACUGAGAAGAUGCAACAUUCCCGAGUCUUGAAUUCAGGACCACAGUGGGCGGGACCCCCCUUGAGGAGCUUUGGGAAAGAGAAACAGAGAUAAGGUACUUGUAAUCAUCACUGCAGGCCCUGUCAGUGGACUGGAAACGGACAGAUGUGUACCUGGGGUAGACCAGGAAACAGGAUGUGAAACAGUGCCAGAUGUGUACCUGGGGUAGACCAGGAAACAGGAAGUGGUAACAGUGACAAGUGUGGAGAAGCUUGGUGGCGCUAAUGACAGCCCCUCACUUCCCUUCUGACACUUUACAUUUACCCCAAUGCAGAGAACUUGGCCAGUUUGCUGAAUUCUGAACAUUAAAGAGAAACCAGUGAAGCAAAGAGCAGUGGAAAUCUUCAGAAGCUGCAGUUGUCCAGGGUAACCCGUUUGAGCCAAGGGACCGAGGCUGCAGCCUUACCUGAAACCUAGAUUUUUUUUAAGGAAGCAGAAUUGAAAGUUUCAAGUAAG
rnacentral:lncRNA from 1 species